rnacentral:rRNA from 1 species
CAGUAGCCACGGUAAUACGUAGGGUGCGAGCGUUAAUCGGAAUUACUGGGCGUAAAGCGUGCGCAGGCGGUUCGUUAAGACAGAUGUGAAAUCCCCGGGCUUAACCUGGGGACUGCGCUUAAUACAGGCAGUCUAGAGUGAGGAAGAGGGUUGUGGAAUUCCCAGUGUAGAGGUGAAAUUCGUAGAUAUUGGGAAGAACACCGGUGGCGAAGGCGGCAACCUGGUCCUUGACUGACGCUGAGGCGCGAAAGCGUGGGGAGCAAACAGGAUUAGAUACCCCGGUAGUCCCUGUCUCUUAUAC